AGCCUUACAAAAAUGACAGAUAAAUGAUAAUCAUCAAAAUUCUUUUUGAUAGUAGUUCAGUUUCACAGUUGAGUUACUGAAUAUGAUGAUGACAUAAAUCAUAUUUCAAAUAAAAAAUUAAAAAAAAUUUUUUUGAAGGGUCUAUUUUCAUAAAAUUUCUUAGAAGGAUGGCGCCAAGCCUAAAAUUCGUUAUUUUCCAUGUCCACCCAUUCUGCAAGCCUUCUUCAGUUACAAGAUUAGAGAACAACUCUCUUCACGCUCACACAACACAAGUUCAUAAAUCAAACCAAAAAUCAAAUAAUUGCAUCGCUUCAAUAAAAAAUGCCCACUCAAGCCCUUACCCUUAACCAGUUUCCCAAUUCUUUCUCACAUUGUCGACGGCAAAACCCCGUUCUUUCUACGCCUUCCGUUUCUUUAAACGUUUCACGAUCGAAUGAAACUAUGAACAUGCGUCUAUCACGCGAGAGGAAGAGGAGUUCUAUAAUGUCGUUUUCAGCUGAGCAGAGCUCCAGUUUCAGUGUGGAACAAAGGAGAAAAGUGGUAGAACAUAUAUGUCUACUCAAAGCAAAGAAAGAUUUAUCUGAUGAAGAAGAGAACAAUAUGCUUGAUUAUCUUUAUACAUCGCAAUAUCAGAUGGCGGGUAUCGUUGCAAUCUCUUUGGGUCGCAUCUCUAAUAAAAAUACUGAAAAUUAUACUCAUGCUGUCUUCAUGCGUUUCCAAAGAAAGGAAGACCUACUGAAGUUCUAUGACAAUUCUUUUUACUUGAAAGUUCUCAAGGAGCAUGUGACGCCUUACUGCCAUGGAAUGAUUAACGUGGAUUUUGAAUCGGAAGUUGAAGAUGAUAUCCUUCCCAUAUUUCGUAAAGGAGAGGAGUUCAACUUUGGUGUAGAGUUUGUGCUUCUAAUAGCAUUUGCUCAGAGUGCAUUUGGUGGACCUGUAGAAGAUGCAUUGGCAUCACUUGAAAAACUGACUGCUGAUUUUCCAUCUCUAAUUGUCCAAACUACUCAGGGUUCAAAUAUUAAUCCCAGCAGUGAGGAAUUCUCACAUGGAGUAGUAAUACGGUUUCGAUCACUUGAAGCUUUUGAGAUAUUUUUGAGCAGCGCAGAAUACAAAAUGUGGAGCACCAAAUUUGAACCCUUCAUCAGGAAAAAGCUUCCCAUUCAUUUCUCUGUUGAUCCUGUGGGUAAAGAGAUUAUGUAGCAAGGAUCCAUGUUUUUGCAGUUUAUUUUCCUGCUCAUAUAAGCUGAGGAAUUAUGGAAGGAUACAUGCAUCUUAUAUGAUUCAAUGAAUGCUUGCAAUGGUUGAAAACAAUUCCAGCUCAGUGGCCUCCAGCUUUCUGGCAUCAAGCACAUAACUGCCUUCAACAAUGCAUGUUAAAACAUCAGAGGUUUUAUGUUUGGCUAUACCUGGGUUCUAUGGAUAUUGAGAGUUUGUCUUUCUUGUCUAGUUAAAAGGUUUGGAUUCUUGUGUAUGCGGUUAAAAGUGAACUAGUUCAUAAUCUGUCCCUCCUACAAAAAUCCUAGUGGAAACGCAAUUUAUACUGGAUAAUUCCAAUUAAUCUAAUCAGUUACAACUUAAAGAGACUAGGAUGCACCAUGCAGGAAGAAAGCAUCUCCCUGUCCUAACUCCAUGCUCCUCUCAGCCUUCCUGGGAACACAUCCAUCCCCCUUUUUGGUAAGAUAUUCAGAUCAUGUAUCAAACGGGAGAAAAGCUUCUGAUUUCAAAGAUGCAUUUAGUGAACAGUUCGAUCUGUCCAUUUGAAAAAUGUGUUUGUCUAACUAUGACUUGCAGACUUAAAAAAUGGUUGCUGAACUUGAAUUUCCCUUCAGACUUGGCUGUUUCUAAACAGAAGAGGAAUAUAAUAAUGCAUGUAUAGAUAGCAAUGAUGCAUGAAUUGAACUCGUGUUUCUAUUCUUUUAUUUAAUCAUAGAAGUUAUGUCUUGAAUUCUGCCAAUAUUUAAUUGGUUGACCGAUUUUAGAGAAUUAUGCUAUAAAUUUCUGAAAUCUGUAUAAAGAGUAAAUGUCAAGAAUUGGGUUUGGUCCUCUUCGAAGAAACUCCAUAUAUUAGGUCUAUCUCCCCUCCACGGAUUUCUUGGCAGCAUUUACGGAGGUUUACCAUGGAAAUUGGGAACUUUGAAUUUGUUUUGAGGCCGGUCUCCUCAUAUUCUUCACCUGCAAUUCUCUGGAUAUAGCAGGAACUCAAGAACUGGUUCCAAAUGGGUAUGAUGAUCAACAUGAGAAAUAGCAGACAAGGACUUUGAGUUUGAGUAGCCAUAUUUAAAUGUUGAACAUCUAAGAACCGUUGGCUCCUAUCCUAUGAUUCACAAUGUACAAAUAAUUUUGUCAAAAGCAUGUUGUGAUUUAAGACAUAAAUAUGCCUUGACCGUAGAUGAUGAAAAGUAUGAGAGUUCCAGAAUCGCUAUAGCAUCAAAAAUACAAAGUAUGAUUUGGUCCUUUGGUGUGGAGUGGGGUUGCGAAUAUGAACGCCUGUGUCUGUGUCUGCUUUUGAGGUUGUUGUUGGCUUUGACUUUGCAUCAACUGCAUCUCUCAUUGAUUUUUUAAAAGAUGAAAUUGUGCCAUGAUAAUGGGUACAUUCAAGGAGACAAGAUAUGUUGUGAA